AUUUGUAUUUAAAGUUGCGGCUCAGAUGCACAGGUACACACUCUGACGCACAAGCAGAUACACAGAUACAUACACUGACUACAUACAGAUAAACAGGCACAUACACUGACAGACACACUGACACAGGUACAUAUAUUGACACACACACAGACACAUACACUGGUAGACGUACUGACAGACAUACUGACACAGGCACAUAUACAGACAUACUGACACACAGACACAUAUACCGACAUACUGACACACACACACAGACACUGAUCAACAUACUGACACACAUACACUGGCAGAAAUACUGACACCCACACACUGACAGAUAUACUGACACCCACAUACACUGAGAAAUACUGACACACACACACAGGCACAUACACUGACACACACAGACUGAUAUACUGACACACACACACACAGGCAUACUGGCACACAGACAGAUAUAC